UGGCCCAUUUAAAAAUAAUUUCUUCCUCCCGCGCCUUGCAAGUGUAUACUCGUCACAGACGUCAUGAAACGUCACCAGAAGUGUCCACUUAAUUUGAGGGCGGUGGAGAUAUGGUGUGUCUUUUAAGUGUUUGGGUCGCAAACAUGGAGUACACUCGCAAACUCGACUAAAAACGAGGGCUGAGGGCCUUACGUUGCUAACUUCCCUUGCUUGGCUAAUUAUUUGGACCGCCCUCCAAGAUGGCGACAGGGAUUCCCCAAUGAUAUAAGGCGAGGAGCCCUCCUUUUGUCAACAGACAUCUCAGGUGAGCAUGUGGACAUUAAUUACCUUAACCCUCGCUGAAUAAGAAGUCUAGAGGUGGGUAACGGCUAUACUCAUCCAAUUUAUGUUGCAUUACCGCCAUCAACUAUACUGGGCUAUAAAUCCAUUAUACUGUAAACAACAAAAUUAAAAAAUAUGCACUCAUUAAAACCCACCACCCUAUUCCAUCAUUUAACCCUAUUGGUCCCUACCCUAGGUCGAUGGCACACCUUCCACUUCAAAUAACUCUCACUCUCACUUUCCAUUUCACCUCCAGGACUCAACCUGGCAUACUGCUCACUCUGUUUGUACUUGCCACCAGUCUUCUUCACAGUCGUCUUCUCCCUUUCUAUCGCCAUCUUCAUCAAAUUCAACCUCUGUUUUCCUCAUUCUCUUUGAAGCCUUCUUCCUCACAGCUGAAUCUCCUGCAGCUUAGGUAGAGGCAGUAAGUCCCCACACUCAUAACAGAAGUUCCUGUGGUUCCCACAUGUCUCUGUAGCCUUUUUCCACUCGACCGUCCCCACAAAAUCCAUGCUCCUGUAUCCACCCCUACCUCUAGGAGUCUGAUUUAUUAGGCAGAUCUACCUCCUGACUUGACACUGGAAGAUUCUCAGUUGGUUUUGCUGGACUCUCCUUCGUACUCUCCUUUGAAAAAGGUCAAAGGUAAAUUAGAUGAUUCUCCUUAUCCACUAGCACAUCAUCAGACAAAUUACGUUUACAGAGGAAUCCCAAAACACAUGUGUAAAGUGCUAAACAUUUAUUUAGCUAGUUGUGCAAGAUAUUUUCUAGAUACAAUAAUCUUAAAUGUGUGCAUGUUUUUGUUGUUGUUGACAAAACAACAUCUGAUUCAAAGGGAGUGUGCUAGAUUUUAAAACACAGAGCACCCGUGUAUCCUCGGCUGAAGAAGGCAAUUGAGGAGAGCAGAAAGUUCUCCUUUUAACGAAUUUGCACCCCUACAUACUGUAUGAAGAACACUUAUCGGUUUCCGGGUCACGGACAGAGUAGAGGAGGACAAAAGAGUCGAGGAGAGGACAGACAUUUUCCAAUUGAGAAUCUCCCACUGUCAUGGAUGGAUUCGCAUCAUAGGUAGGCCUACUGUACUUGCUGGCCAGCAGUUUUUGUUAUUACAUGAUGACCACUUCUAUGAAGUCAACCAGACAUGCAACAAGAAUCUGGGUUAGGUACUGUCCUGCUUAAAAUAAUAAUGAAGCCGCUUGUAUAUAAUCAUGAGACAAACACAGGGGGGUAUCAUUGCAAUUAAGUGCAGUACAGAGGAAUUAAGUUAGAUGUGAAGUCAUACAAUUUUAACGUGUCCAACGUUGCAGUCACAAGUUGGCUGCAGUGCAAAUAGUCUGCAAAAUCUUUGUUCUAUCGGCUGUUGCAGACUCGCAAUGUCUUGCAAACCAUUUCUCUCGCCAGGUAAGUAGCUACUACUACUAGCAAGUAAGUAGAUGUCGUUUUCAAAUAGCUAGUUACAUCCAAAUACUACUAUAAAUAUUACAGCGAAGCUUGCUUCCAGGCUAAACCUUGAAUGAUCGCUAGUUGACUAGAUGGAAUGUUUUGAAUAAUCCCAGCAUAGUUGACUGUUUGUUUCAAUCACUCAAGGUGAGAUGGCUAGCUAGCAAAUCGAGGGGUGCAAUUAGGUCUUUCUAUAAACUAGGGUAGGCCAACCAGUGAGGAUUUCCUACACUGGACAAUUUGUUACAGCUGUUAAAUCAUUGACAAUAAUCUGCAUAUUUCCACGUCAUUGCAUUAAGGAGGCAUAGCUACUAUAUAUUCAAUAAAAUUCACGAGUUUGUCCAAAAUCAUGUGACAUAAAACAUUACUUUUCUGUUCUUGCAUUUAUGGCAGUGUACAUUGUCAUAAUCAUAUAUUAAGCAUUAAUCAGUUAAACUUGACAUUGGACCAUAUAAGAAUCCUGGAUUGAGCUGUUGGACAUUUCGUGUUUUAUGUUAUGCUGGGUGAGUUUUCAUGGACACAAAUCCAAAAUAAUAUAUGCGAUUGCAAAAUCAAAUGCCUCUAACCAAGAGUCACCUUACCUUGAUACUUAUAACCAUAUCCCUAGCGAUUUGAGGUUGAUUAUUUGUUGUCUAUUUGAUUUACAGUACUUAGAUUUAACAAAGAAAGCAUUGAGGUAAUGUGUUCGGAUUGGACACGGAGUCUACUGUGCUCAAGUGUGUAACUCGACUGGGAUAGACUAUUGUUCAACACCCAACUCUAUUCCUAUUAAUUAUUCUGUAUAUAAUGACACAUUCUAUAGCCUAUUUGGCUUAUUCACAAUAUGAUCUGGUCAUGAAAUAACAUGACAAAUACAUUUUAUUUUCCAUGUUACACCUGCCAUUUAAAUAAUACAGGGGGCUUGAAGCAGCCUAUUUGGAGCUCAGAAAUUAAAGUAUUGGUAUAGGCCUACUUUGAAAAUAAGACAUUUCCUCAAUUUGGUGUUUGAAAAGUCCUUAUAAUUAUUGUUGCCAAUUUAGAAGUUAUCAUGCUCCCUUAUAUCCGUGAUGACAUUUUUUUAUCCGUCAUUUGUUUUAUGUCCCUUCAAUUGUGCGGUUAUUAUGAGGACAACAUCUAAUGUUGGAUUCAGUUUGGCUUUCCACAUAAAUCCUUCCAUCAAAAAAUGAACCUGGUUUUUGGUCACUUUCUCAUUAUAAAAACAGCGAUGGUGAGAUUAAUGCUAUUACCGCUAUUCAUGACUUUAUUACAGUACGUAUGCCUGUGUUGGCCACUUAGGCUACAGAAAAAUCACUAUGCAUGCAUCCAAUCUAUUUAGUCAGGCAAUGUCCACAUUAUUCUCACAUAUUUCAGAAUAUAAUAGUUUGAAUAUCAAUGCAUUGGCAAGGCCUAAAAAAAAUGCAUCAUUCUUAAUGGUAAUGGCCUACUUUUGGGAGGGAAGGUGGAGUUCUACAUUAGGCCCUAUAUGUACAAUUAGAAACUGGGUGGUUCGAGCCCUGAAUGCUGAUUGGAUGACAGCCGUGGUAUAUCAGACCGUACACCACUGUAUGACUGUCACACCCUGAUUGGUUUUACCUGUCUUUGUGCUUGUCUCCACCCCCCUCCAGGUGUCAUCCAUCUUCCCAAUUAUCCCCUGAGCAUUUAUACCUGUGUUCUCUGUUUGUCUGUGUGUUGCCAGUUUGUCUUGUCUUACCAGUGUGCUUUCCCAUUUCUCAAGUGUUUGUUUCCUAGUUUUCCUGGUUCUGACCAUUCUGCCUGCCCUGACCCCGAGCCUGUCUGCCAUCCUGUACCUGCCUGACUCUGACCUGAUUACAAACCUUUGCCUGUUCUCGACCUGCCAUUUUCCCCGUGUUAUAACAAGUUAUUGAUAACUGUACUAUCUGCCUCCUGUGUCUGCAACUAGGUCAUAUCCUGAGUCCUGAUGAUGACAAAACAUUGUUUUACUGCUCUAAUUACGUUGGUAACCAGUUUAUAAUAGCAAUAAGGCUCCUCUGGGGUUUGUGAUAUAUGGCCAAUAUACCAUGACUAAGGGCUGUGUCCAGGCACUCCGUGUUGCGCCUAAGAACAGCCCUUAGCCGUGGUAUAUUGGCCAUAUACCGCACCUCCACUGGCCUUAUUGCUUAAUUAUGUAAUUUAUACAACUGUAUAACAGAGGUCCUUAAAUUAAAGUAAAUUUAAGUGCCUGAGAAAGUCCCUGAAAGUCCUUGAAUUUGACUUGCCAUCUCUGUGCAUUCAAAUUUCCAUAGCUAAAAUGAAACAAAAAUGUGUUCGUUGUCCGUAGUUUAUGCCUGCAAAUACCAUAACCCCACUGGCACCUGUUGAAUUCAGAGCAUGCAACAACUAAAAUGUUAUUUGAUUUGAUCAUGGGACACUGUUCACAUCAGCAAACCCCUCGCCCACACGAUGGCAUACACACUGUCUGCCAUCUCCCCGGUACAGUUGAAACUGGGAUUCAUCCGUGAAGAGCACACUUCUCCAGCGUGCCAUUGAAGGUGAGCAUUUGCCCACUGAAGUGCAGUCAGGUCAAAGUCCUGAUGAGGAUGAUGAGCACGCAGAUGAGCUUCCCUGAGAUGGUUUCUGACAGUUUGUACAGAAAUGAUUCAGAUGUGCACAGUGGCUGUAACAUGUAAUUAUGGACCAAUUAGGGACCAAUAGUUCUUACAAAGAGUAAUCCACAACCAGAUAACUACCUGCCACUAACUCCAGAUACAGUGUGGCCUUUUGUGUGUCCUUAUAUAUGUCAUAUUGUGUUACAGGGAUUUGUGAAGAGACGGGCUAUUUUUGCAUGCAACACACUGCCUUACCUGCACCAACCAUUGCCAUGACGGGUGUCUUUGAGCUUUACACAAAAAGGGCAAAGACCGACAAAACAUUAAAAACCAAUACAAUCACAACUUCCAUGGCUGUUACUGUACCUGUGACAGACCUUACCCAGACACUGAUGACCAUGUGUGGGUUUCAUUCCAGCGUUAUGCACCAUUCACUUUCUCCAUCACUAUUGAUGAAUGAAUGUUUAAUUUCUGUCUGAGUCAUACACUUUGUUGAUAUGCUAGAUCUCUAGGAUUCAGUUAGUCUGUUGUUGAAAGAAUGAUGGCUAUGUCAUUCUAAAUCACAAAACACUGUCAUGAUCUUUCUAUUUCCGAUAACGUUAAUGAGGAUAUGAUUCAGUGUAUCACCUCUGAGGACUGGUAUCAUCCCUGGGUAUGUAUCGGGCCAACAUCAUGUCAUCAUUGUCAGUUCUCUUUCUAAACUAUGUUAGCAGGGAUAAUGGUUUUGGUACAAAGACAGGAAUGAUUACUCCUCCUUGACCAUGUGGACUUCUCUGUGACAGCACUUGGGUUGUAUGGUGGAAAAGACUGAGGAGAUGGAGUGUGAGACCUGUAUUAGCAAAGCCCACUUCCUUUGGACCUACUUUCGCCCACUUAGCAGGUGUGUUAUUAUUCCUCCCACUGACAGAGAGUGCUAGGGAUCCAGAGCUCUGGGCUUGGGUUACAAAAAACACCAACCAUAAAUGAGUACUGCUUUUUAAAUCUAUUGCCCCUAGCUAACUAAAUAUUGGAGAUAACGGUACUGUUCAUUCAUUCAUUCAGUUGAGUUCAUUCAGUUCACUUCUCGGGUAUGAUGGAAUAAGCUUAGCACAAGCCUGUAUUUGUGGAGUUUCUCCCAUUCCUCUCUGCAGAUCCUCUCAAGCUCUGUCAUGUUGGAU